rnacentral:rRNA from 1 species
GACGAACGCUGGCGGCGUGCUUAACACAUGCAAGUCGAACGGAAAGGCCCUGCUUUUGGGGUGCUCUAGUGGCGAACGGGGGAGUGACACACGGGUGAUCUGCCCUCCUCUUCGGGAUAGACCUGGGAGACUGGGUGUAAUACCGGCUAGAUGCCAUUUUUAGUCUUAUGGUUGGAAAGUAUAUUCGGUUUAUGAUGAGCUCGCGGGCUAUCAGCUUGCUGGUGGGGUAAUGGCCUACCAAGGCGGCUGCGGGUGGCCGGCCUGGGAGGGUGGACGGCCAAAUUGGGACCGAGGUAAGGCCCAGACUCCUACGGGAGGGAGCAGGGGGGAAUCAUGCACAAUGGGCGCGAGGCGUGUGCAGAGACGCCGCGGGGGGGAUGACGGCCUUAGGGGUGGAAAACCCUUUCGCUAGGGACGGAGCCUUUUGUGACGGUACCUAGAUAAGAAGCACCGGCUAACUACGUG